UGGGAAUUUUGGACAAUGGGCGAAAGCCUGAUCCAGCAAUGCCGCGUGUGUGAAGAAGGCCUUCGGGUUGUAAAGCACUUUUGUCCGGAAAGAAAUCCUUGGCUCUAAUACAGUCGGGGGAUGACGGUACCGGAAGAAUAAGCACCGGCUAACUACGUGCCAGAGCCGCGGUAAUACGUAGGGUGCAAGCGUUAAUCGGAAUUACUGGGCGUAAAGCGUGCGCAGGCGGUUUGCUAAGACCGAUGUGAAAUCCCCGGGCUCAACCUGGGAACUGCAUUGGUGACUGGCAGGCUAGAGUAUGGCAGAGGGGGGUAGAAUUCCACGUGUAGCAGUGAAAUGCGUAGAGAUGUGGAGGAAUACCGAUGGCGAAGGCAGCCCCCUGGGCCAAUACUGACGCUCAUGCACGAAAGCGUGGGGAGCAAACAGGAUUAGAUACCCUGGUAGUCCACGCCCU
rnacentral:rRNA from 1 species